rnacentral:rRNA from 1 species
GACGAACGCUGGCGGCGUGCUUAACACAUGCAAGUCGAACGGUAAGGCCCUUCGGGGUACACGAGUGGCGAACGGGUGAGUAACACGUGGGUGAUCUGCCCUGCCCUUCGGGAUAAGCCUGGGAAACUGGGUCUAAUACCGGAUAGGACCCUGGGAUGCAUGUCCUGGGGUGGAAAGCUUUUGCGGGUUGGGAUGGGGCCGCGGCCUAUCAGCUUGUUGGGGGGGUGAUGGCCUACCAAGGCGACGACGGGUAGCCGGCCUGAGAGGGUGACCGGCCACACUGGGACUGAGAUACGGCCCAGACUCCUACGGGAGGCAGCAGUGGGGAAUAUUGCACAAUGGGCGCAAGCCUGAUGCAGCGACGCCGCGUGAGGGAUGACGGCCUUCGGGUUGUAAACCUCUUUCAGCACCGACGAAGCGCAAGUGACGGUAGGUGCAGAAGAAGGACCGGCCAACUACGUGCCAGCCGCCGCGGUAA